rfam:Ficedula albicollis isolate OC2 chromosome 4, whole genome shotgun sequence.
AAAAAGGAGUUUUUAAACUCCAACCAGACUUCCAAAACAAUUCAAG